rnacentral:rRNA from 1 species
GAUGAACGCUAGCGGCAGGCCUAACACAUGCAAGUCGAGGGGCAGCACGGUGUAGCAAUACACUGGUGGCGACCGGCGCACGGGUGCGUAACGCGUAUGCAACCUACCCAUAACAGGGGGAUAACACUGAGAAAUUGGUACUAAUACCCCAUAACAUCAGGACCGGCAUCGGUUCUGGUUGAAAACUCCGGUGGUUAUGGAUGGGCAUGCGUUGUAUUAGCUGGUUGGUGAGGUAACGGCUCACCAAGGCAACGAUACAUAGGGGGACUGAGAGGUUAACCCCCCACAUUGGUACUGAGACACGGACCAAACUCCUACGGGAGGCAGCAGUGAGGAAUAUUGGUCAAUGGACGCAAGUCUGAACCAGCCAUGCCGCGUGCAGGAAGACGGCUCUAUGAGUUGUAAACUGCUUUUGUACGAGAGUAAACGCUCUUACGUGUAAGAGCCUGAAAGUAUCGUACGAAUAGGAUCGGCUAACUCCGUGCCAGCAGCCGACGG